CUACGCCUUCACCGUCUUCUGUAAUCGUAUACACUGUACUAAAAGAGUUGGGAACCUCUGUUGAUGUAACUGCUGGUACCAAUGUCAUCGAGGUUGAACCAAUGGUGAAAGCAGAUAUCAUUUUGGGAGGAGAUAACAACACUAUCGU